rnacentral:lncRNA from 1 species
CUUACAGAGCUGGUGAAAGCAUUUUUUCUUUGCUGAUCUGUAGCCCAAGGAUUCAAAAAUCCUUCAUCGCCUCAUCACAAACGUCUUUCCUUAUCUGUUGCUGAAGAACCUGCAGUAGAUGGACUCCCUGUCUUGCUGAUUUCCCAGAAAAGGUACAAAAUCUUCCCCCAUCUUGCUCUCCUGUCUUCUGGAAAUAUGCAGUCUCCUAUCAAAGUGGUCCUAUGGAUCAAGAAUGUAGAAAUCAAGAAUAGGUAAACUUCAUCAGCUGCUUAGUCUAUUAUUCUUCAAGAAGAAGAAAUAUGAGUGUUAAGCAGAGAAAUUAAGUAGUUGCACAAAUUAUUGAAGCUUAUGUAAAAUUUUGUGUAUGCAAAAUCCUUGAAAUGUUGCUAGAACAUUGCUUCAUGGGAUGGAAAAGAAUGUUGUAUCUCACAGAAAGCAGUAAUGUCAUCUAGUCUUGGCUGAACUUGGACAGCUGAAAUCAUCUCCACAAAGAGAGAGAUACUACACUUCACUGAAGCACACAUUUGUGUGUAUGAAGCAAUAGGUGGAUGUGCUAAUAACUCGAUUUCAGUAUUGAUGGAAGGAAUAGGAGAAUGGCAGUAAGGAGUGGAGAUUUGCUUCUGAAAGGAAUACUAGAAGGUUGCCAAGGAGUAGAUAGCAUAAAAAUACAUAUCUUUUCCCAGUCUUGGGAUUUCUCUCAUGAAUGCAAUCUCUGGAUAUAAUACUUGCAAAAACUUUUACACAAAUUUACACAGCUGCAUAUCAAUGUUUUUCAAUAUCAAUAUCAACGAUGGGUUUGAUGAAAAACAAACUAGGCUGUAUAGAUUGAAACUUCUGAGUUCAUUCUGCUGUGGUCUGCUGAGAAGAGUGGGCUGCAAUCUUCUGGUGAGCACAAAUAGCUUGAAAAUCAUGACAUUUAGUAAAAUAUUGGGAAGAGCAAUUGAAUACAAAUCAGUUUAUAGAACAUAUUUAAGCAUUAUUUUUGAUAUUUGAGAAUGGAAAUUGCUUUUAAAAAAUGGGUAAAACUUUAUAAGAACAUUGCUUAUAAAAGAUCUACUAAUUUUACUUAAAUGUUAUCAGUAAGAUAUCCAUAAUGUGAAUUUGAGGAAGCAUUUUCAGUUACUUUAGUUACUUACAUUUUCCUUAGAUAACAUGCUAUUGGGAACCUGCAUGGGUACCUUUUUGCAUAAUGGCAUGCUCUGAGAUUAUUGGCUAUGCUUUUUCUCUAGUGCUGAAGUUAAUUUCAUAAAUUUGAACUAAGUACAUUUUGUAUUAGGAAUUAGGAGAAAAGAGUUAAUUACAGAUUAGUUGCAUCUACUGUCUCCUUCUGAAAAUCUAAUUCUGAAAAACCCUUUCAACACAAAAAAAAAAAAAAAAGAAAAAAUAAAAAAGAAAAAGCCUGAAUUAGUCUUUAGAAAGCACAGCAAAAGAAAAAAAUAUAUAUACAUCUUUGAGGCAAAAGAAAUCUUUUUCUUUACUGAAGUCAAAUAAUACUAGCUUGUGAAUAACUAUUAUUUCAUACAAUUUUUUGUCAGGAUUUAAAAAAGGAAAGUGGUGUCAUUAUAAGCAAAACCUGUGAUAAAUAAUUGAAUCUCGCUGAGAUAUUCAUUUUAAUAACAUUUGUUCUGAAUGCCCAUGAAAAGCAUAAUGACUUCCAAUGAGCUAAGUCCUUUAAAACUUUCUUCAGAUCUGUUCUGUAAUUCAAAGAGAAUAAAUCUAGAAUAUUCUGUGAUAUUCAAACCUUGUAUAGUUAACUGUAUUAGAAGUCUGCUUCAAAUCAAAAUUAGUUCGAAGAUGGUUUAUAGAAUGAAAAUGAAUAAUGCUUGUGCUUCUUCAAAUUUGCUUAUAAAACCAAAUAUUCUUUUCAUGUUUUCAAAAUAAUAUUGGUUUAGAAGCAAAUAAUAUACACAUAAUCAUAUUAGGCAAUAUUAUCCUUUCUUUAAAAAAAUAAAAAAGUUCUGCAAUCUCUACUCAAAUAUCACAUAAAAUUACUUAAAAAAAUACUGUUUUUUUUCUAAGAAAAAAUAUUUUUUCAUCUUAUUUGAAA